rnacentral:sRNA from 1 species
GGAGCAUGCCUUUCAGGCAUCCUCUCCCAAACUUUUCAGGCCGGCCGGGCAACUGGCCGGCCAUUUUUUUGCACGCG